rnacentral:lncRNA from 1 species
UUUGUGUGGAUCUUGGGUUUUGGUUGAUCAGAUUUCGGGUCGGGUGUGAACUUGAUCCGUUCUCAAAUUCGGAUACGAAUCCUACCUCAUUACGGAUUCGGAUCGUGAUGCUGUGAUUAGCCAAUAUGAUUGGGUUAAGAGGCCUCGUAAAGUUCACUAUGAUUAGCCAAUAUGAUUGGGUUAAGAGGCCUGCGUUGGAGGCCUAAUGGGCUUAUCCUACCGGUUCCUUAAUCUUGACCGUCCAUUCACGAUGAUGC